rnacentral:tRNA from 1 species
GAAAAAUUAGUUAAAUUAAAUAACNCUAGAUUGUCAUUCUAAAAUUAAUAAUUCAAAUAAUUAUUUUUCU